AUGGUGGUGGAGCGUAAGGAGACGGGUAAGGAGCAUCCGGUUCAGCGGCCGGUUUAUUAUGUCAGUGAGGUGCUUAUUGAGUCCAAGCAGCGAUACCCGCACUGGCAGAAGCUUGUAUAUGGUGUGUUCAUGGCGAGCCGGAAACUCAAGCAUUAUUUUCAGGGUCAUCCCAUCACUGUGGUCAGUUCUGCCCCUCUUGGGGAUAUUAUCCAGAACCGAGAGGCUACAGGGAGAAUUGCUAAGUGGGCUAUUGAGCUUGGGCCUCAUGGCCUCAAAUAUGUGCCACGCACUGCUGUUAAGUCUCAGGCUUUGGUGGAUUUUAUUAAUGAUUGGACAGAGUCGCAAGUGCCUGAGCAGAAGCCGGAUAACACCUAUUGGACUAUUCACUUUGAUGGGUCCAGGCAGCUGGAGGGCUCGGGGGCUGGUGUUGUAUUAGCUUCCCCUAGGGGUGACAAGUUCCAGUAUGUGCGACAAUUGAUGUUUCCUUGCACUAACAAUGCGGCUGAAUACGAGGCCUUACUCCACGGUCUUCGGGUGGCUAAGGAGAUGAGCUUAAGCCGGGUACGGUGCUUUGGGGACUCAGAUUUGGUGGUUCAACAAGUAUCAGGCACUUGGGAUUCUAAGGAUCCCCUCAUGGCGGCUUAU
rnacentral:rRNA from 1 species